CGGAGGGUGCAAGCGUUAUCCGGAUUUACUGGGUUUAAAGGGUGUGUAGGCGGACUUUUAAGUCAGCGGUGAAAUCUCCGGGCUCAACCCGGAAACUGCCAUUGAUACUAUUGGUCUUGAAUGUUGUUGAGGUGGGCGGAACGGGUCAUGUAGCGGUGAAAUGCAUAGAUAUGACCCGGAACACCGAUUGCGUAGGCAGCCCACUAAGCAACGAUUGACGCUGAGGCACGAAAGCGUGGGGAUCAAACAGGAUUAGAUACCCUGGUAGUCCACGCCCUAAACGAUGAUUACUCGACGUUGGCGAUACACUGAUCAGCGUCCAAGCGAAAGCAUUAAGUAAUCCACCUGGGAAGUACGUUCGCAAGAAUG
rnacentral:rRNA from 1 species